UACAGAGGUCUCAAGCGUUGUUCGGAUUCAUUGGGCGUAAAGAGCUCGUAGGCGGUCUGUCGCGUCGGCUGUGAAAACUCGGGGCUCAACUCCGAGCUUGCAGUCGAUACGGGCAGGCUAGAGUUCGGCAGGGGAGACUGGAAUUCCUGGUGUAGCGGUGAAAUGCGCAGAUAUCAGGAGGAACACCGGUGGCGAAGGCGGGUCUCUGGGCCGUUACUGACGCUGAGGAGCGAAAGCGUGGGGAGCGAACAGG
rnacentral:rRNA from 1 species